GUCUUGAAUUCAUGGAGCAUUUUCAAAUGGUGCCAUCCCGGCAGGUGUGACCGCGCUUUUGCGGAGCCUCGGUGCUGUUUUACCUGCUUGAGUCUGUCAGAAACCCAUUUGUAUGCGCCCGGCUAAUGUGCUAGAAAUAAAAGCCCCAAACUGUCAAGUAAACUGCACCUGUACGAAGCAGUUAAAUGGUUCCAUCUGCUAUUAUCCCGGGAGAUCAAAGGCCAUCCCCGGGAGGGGUGCCCAAGGACCAAAGCAAAGGGUAGAGCGCCUUGUCUUGGAGUUUAAAAAGAAGAGGACAACGAAGAGGAGAGCGGUUUUGGGACACAGAGUGAAGUCUGCUCAGAUCCAUCUGUCUCCUUACUAUUUCAACCAAUAUACUCCCUCCUACAAAAAGUAUGUCUUCAGAAAGUGCACUCAGGUUGGAAAAGUGUGGAAAGAGCAGAUGAACUUAUUGUCAGUGGCCAUAUGAUCCCUCACUGUUCAUUGUCUUCAUCACUAAGU
ensembl:lncRNA